CCCUUAGAUGUUCUGGGCCGCACGCGCACUACACUGAUACAUGCAACGAGUUUAUAACCUUGAUCUGACGGUCUGGGUAAUCUUCAAACUGUAUCGUGUUAGGGAUCGAUUCUUGCAAUUUUUAAUCGUAAACGAGGAAUUCCUAGUAAACGCAAGUCAUCAGCUUGCAUUGAUUACGUCCCUGCCCUUUGUACACACCGCCCGUCGACUCUACCGAUUGAAUGGUUCGGUGAAAACUUUGGACUGUGGCAUUGUCCUUCAUUGGACUUCGCCGUAGGAAAUUGUUUAAACCUCAUCAUUUAGAGGAAGAAUAAGUCGUAACA
rnacentral:rRNA from 1 species